rnacentral:rRNA from 1 species
GAUGAACGCUGGCGGCGUGCCUAAUACAUGCAAGUCGAGCGAACAGACGAGGAGCUUGCUCCUCUGACGUUAGCGGCGGACGGGUGAGUAACACGUGGAUAACCUACCUAUAAGACUGGGAUAACUUCGGGAAACCGGAGCUAAUACCGGAUAAUAUAUUGAACCGCAUGGUUCACUAGUGAAAGACGGUUUUGCUGUCACUUAUAGAUGGAUCCGCGCCGCAUUAGCUAGUUGGUAAGGUAACGGCUUACCAAGGCAACGAUGCGUAGCCGACCUGAGAGGGUGAUCGGCCACACUGGAACUGAGGCACGGUCCAGACUCCUACGGGAGGCAGCAGUAGGGAAUCUUCCGCAAUGGGCGAAAGCUUGACGGAGCAACGCCGCGUGAGUGAUGAAGGUCUUCGGAUCGUAAAACUCUGUUAUUAGGGAAGAACAAAUGUGUAAGUAACUAUGCACGUCUUGACGGUACCUAAUCAGAAAGCCACGGCUAACUACGUG